UGCACACAGAUACGUACGGCGUAUGUAUGUGUGACGGCUACGCGCGCAUCUAUCAAUGGCGAUAUCGUUGACGAAUGCGCCGUCGCAAUGCUAGUCAUUCACGAGUGUCCGAGGAGAAUUGCCAUCCUUGACGAUCAUCCUCCCACCGAUAUUAUUGUUCACAGUGAAUUCACGAGUUCCCGUCUUUUGUCUUACCUGCAAAGGUAUGGACGCGAAAAAACUGGAUUCCUCCCGAAGAUUUUGGAUCUCGUUCAUCUUUAGAAUUGAAUCCUGCUCCAUUUUCAACUUUAAUUACCAUAAACACGCGAAAAUUUUCUUGAAACGCAAAUUUAAUAGAAUUAAAUCGACUAGAGACAAAAAUCUUUGACAGGAAGAUCGUUUAUGAAGCGCGAUAACUUUUCAUCAGCCAAAACUGCUGACGUUUCUAAGCUUCUCGUUUUCUAAAUAUCGUUUUCUCUUCAAUCAGCGAAAAGUCGUGUGUUUAUGCGAUCUUUAUGACUGUUGAAAAAGAGAGAGAGAACGAUCUUUUUAAUUAUUCAAUAUGUUAUAUACUAUAAAAUUGAUAAAACAGUCAGCGAUGUUAAAUACGAGACGUGAACGCAGAGACUGAAAUCUUCUAGCGAUAACUAGACAACCAAUGAAGCCGGCGAUUGGGAAAUAUCAUUUCACGCCUGGAAACACUACACGAUUUACUAUCGCACUAUCAUAUAAUUAGUGGAACAGUCAUUCCAUAUACAUUUAGAAAACAAAAUUAUUUUCCGAAACAGCUGAUAUAAAUACGAACACAUUAAUGAUACACGUUUCUGAUUUUCUUCUAUAAAUUGUCAAGUUCUUUCAGACAUAAAGAUAUUUUAAAUCUGAUAAUUCUUAAGUGUAGUAAAAUUAAUAAUUCGUGCAAACUGUCUUUUCAUCACGUCAGAUAUAUUUAUGUGUGCGAUUGUAUAAUACUUGUGGCAAUUUAUUUUUCAUCAUACUUUCUCAGUAUAAAAAUACAGUGCCUUUUUACCAUACAAGGAUUUAUUUUGAUAAUUAUUUAAUUGAAGAGAUAGAACAUGUACAUUAAUUAUUAAUAUUCUAAUUAUAAUUGCUUCUGACAAAAGAAAAAAGUACAUUAAAAAAUUGUAUUACAUUAUUCCGUGAAACAUCUUAAAUUUUCUUUUAAAUUAUGUAUAUUUUAAAGAAUUUAUGUCAUAUAUGUAAAAAUAUUUAUAUAUAGAUACUAAAAAAUAUUCUAAAUUAUAUACAGAUUUUUCACAUUAGGUCAUAUAUUGAAUUUCUAGAAUGCGAAGUUUCCUGAAUAAAAAAAUCAAAAGUAAUUUACAAGCAAAAUAAAAAAUUUAGUAACAAAAGGUAAAUAAAAUAUUUAACAA